rnacentral:lncRNA from 1 species
AAACAAUGCCUAACUCCUAAAAUCAAGGAUCUAGAGGGAAGACCUAGACUAAGCUAAGAACGGCAGACCUACCCUAUGAAAAAUUGGUUCUCUCUUUAACAUGGAGAAAGAAGAUCACCAACCCAAAUGAUUUUCUUUGUAAAUAUUUCAUCGGUUCUACCCAUGUAUCUACUACUGCUGCUGUGAUAUCUUACAUUUCGUCUAAGACAAUGUCAGCAAUUUAGCAGCGUGUGUUCCAUUUAGAUAAAGUAGUAUUCUUGUUUCUUUAUUUGCUGGAAGAAUCAGCUAACAUGUCUGCCAAAUCCAAAUCAACUCCAAAUGGAACUUCGAGCAAUUCAACACCACCAACUCCUCGGAUGAGUACAGUGAGCUGGGGAAUAGAUAAACCUAAUGGUGAUUCACCCUCUCCCUUGCAUAAUUCACGUCAUAGCUUUUGGCUAAAAGGAACUACCGUACAUCGGAGGUUUUGAGUUUUGAGUUUUUCGAUGUCAAGUAUAAGGUUUUCGAUCGAAGUUCCGGUCUGUAAUAUCGGUGUUAGUCCAAGUAUUGUUGUUUUGUUUAAUCCAACUGAUUCUCAAUUUUCAGCUUUGUUCGUCAAUAAAAUUACUGUUUCUUAAUUUUCAUUCUCAUUUCAUUGUGUUACGAUAGCUUGGUACGUGCGUUGGUUGAUUUGUAAUUCUACUUUGUUUGAGUAGCAUGUUUUAAUUUUCAUUUAAAUUGUUUUAAUUAGUUUUUAUUUCGAUUUUGAUAUAUGUAAUCUUGGUUCUUGAAUAAAUGAUUUUAAUUGGGCA